AGUGAACGCUGGCGGUAGGCCUAACACAUGCAAGUCGAACGGCAGCACAGUAAGAGCUUGCUCUUACGGGUGGCGAGUGGCGGACGGGUGAGGAAUACAUCGGAAUCUACUUUUUCGUGGGGGAUAACGUAGGGAAACUUACGCUAAUACCGCAUACGACCUACGGGUGAAAGCAGAGGAUCUUCGGACCUUGCGCGAUUGAAUGAGCCGAUGUCGGAUUAGCUAGUUGGCGGGGUAAAGGCCCACCAAGGCGACGAUCCGUAGCUGGUCUGAGAGGAUGAUCAGCCACACUGGAACUGAGACACGGUCCAGACUCCUACGGGAGGCAACAGUGGGGAAUAUUGGACAAUGGGCGCAAGCCUGAUCCAGCCAUACCGCGUGGGUGAAGAAGGCCUUCGGGUUGUAAAGCCCUUUUGUUGGGAAAGAAAAGCAGCAGGUUAAUACCCCGCUGUUCUGACGGUACCCAAAGAAUAAGCACCGGCUAACUUCGU
rnacentral:rRNA from 1 species